rnacentral:rRNA from 1 species
AUUGAACGCUGGCGGCAGGCCUAACACAUGCAAGUCGAACGAGUGGCGGACGGGUGAGUAAUGUCUGGGAAUCUGGCUUAUGGAGGGGGAUAACUACGGGAAACGGUAGCUAAUACCGCAUACCAUCGGAUGAGCCCAGGUGGGAUUAGCUUGUUGGUGGGGUAAAGGCUCACCAAGCCGACGAUCCCUAGCUGGUCUGAGAGGAUGACCAGCCACACUGGAACUGAGACACGGUCCAGACUCCUACGGGAGGCAGCAGUGGGGAAUAUUGCGCAAUGGGCGCAAGCCUGAUGCAGCCAUGCCGCGUGAAUGAAGAAGGCCUUCGGGUUGUAAAGUACUUUCGGCGGGGAGGCGUUACCUGCAGAAGAAGCACCGGCUAACUCCGUGCCAGCAGCCGCGGUAAUAC